UACAGAGGGUGCGAGCGUUGUCCGGAAUCACUGGGCGUAAAGAGCGUGUAGGCGGCCAGACAGGUCCGUUGUGAAAACUCGAGGCUCAACCUCGAGACGUCGACGGAAACCGUCUGGCUAGAGUCCGGAAGAGGAGUGUGGAAUUCCUGGUGUAGCGGUGAAAUGCGCAGAUAUCAGGAAGAACACCUAUGGCGAAGGCAGCACUCUGGGACGGUACUGACGCUGAGACGCGAAAGCGUGGGGAGCGAACAGG
rnacentral:rRNA from 1 species